rnacentral:rRNA from 1 species
AUUGAACGCUGGCGGCAUGCCUUACACAUGCAAGUCGAACGGCAGCAUGAUCUAGCUUGCUAGAUUGAUGGCGAGUGGCGAACGGGUGAGUAAUACAUCGGAACGUGCCCUGUAGUGGGGGAUAACUAGUCGAAAGAUUAGCUAAUACCGCAUACGACCUGAGGGUGAAAGUGGGGGACCGCAAGGCCUCAUGCUGUAGGAGCGGCCGAUGUCUGAUUAGCUAGUUGGUGAGGUAAAGGCUCACCAAGGCGACGAUCAGUAGCUGGUCUGAGAGGACGAUCAGCCACACUGGGACUGAGACACGGCCCAGACUCCUACGGGAGGCAGCAGUGGGGAAUUUUGGACAAUGGGCGAAAGCCUGAUCCAGCAAUGCCGCGUGUGUGAAGAAGGCCUUCGGGUUGUAAAGCACUUUUGUCCGGAAAGAAAUGGCUCUGGUUAAUACCUGGGGUCGAUGACGGUACCGGAAGAAUAAGGACCGGCUAACUACGUG